rnacentral:lncRNA from 1 species
GAUGAUGCCAUGACUCAUGCAAAAUGUGAGGCUGGAAUAUGAUAACGGACAAAUGCAGGAACGAUAUGUUCAUUAUGAUGUUAUGAAGAGAUGCUUAUGCGAUGCAUGAUAUGAAUGUAUUUUACGGACACAAGAGCCCGGAAAAUUAUCUCUUCUUACUUGCGCAUUUGGGGGCGCAGUGCCCCAUGUGUACAAUUAAGAAGGUG